rnacentral:rRNA from 1 species
GACGAACGCUGGCGGCGUGCCUAAUACAUGCAAGUUGAGCGAUGAAGCUUGGUGCUUGCACCAAUUUGAAGAGCAGCGAACGGGUGAGUAACGCGUGGGGAAUCUGCCUUUGAGCGGGGGACAACAUUUGGAAACGAAUGCUAAUACCGCAUAACAACUUUAAACAUAAGUUUUAAGUUUGAAAGAUGCAAUUGCAUCACUCAAAGAUGAUCCCGCGUUGUAUUAGCUAGUUGGUGAGGUAAAGGCUCACCAAGGCGAUGAUACAUAGCCGACCUGAGAGGGUGAUCGGCCACAUUGGGACUGAGACACGGCCCAAACUCCUACGGGAGGCAGCAGGAGGGAAUCUUCGGCAAUGGACGAAAGUCUGACCGAGCAACGCCGCGUGAGUGAAGAAGGUUUUCGGAUCGUAAAACUCUGUUGGUAGAGAAGAACGUUGGUGAGAGUGGAAAGCUCAUCAAGUGACGGUAACUACCCAGAAAGGGACGGCUAACUACGUG